rnacentral:lncRNA from 1 species
CAAUGAAUCCUGAAUUACAUGUAAACAUAUAUUGUGCAUGUAAUUCAGGAUUCAUUGCUAGUCCGUAUUGGAAAUAUUGGCCCUAUAUUCACAUCAUUGCAAGUCCGUAUUGGAAAUAUUGGCCCUAUAUUCACAUUUGAUGUAUGUAAUACAGCAUUCAGAACAAGUCUGUAUUGAAAAAGUUUGAUUAUUUAAUAAAAGUGUUAUGAACUGGCUGUUUCUGUAUUGAGACUGGUAU